rnacentral:piRNA from 1 species
UGGAGCACAUGUCAGCCUAUUGCUGUCCUA